CACACACUCUGUUGUUUAACUUUUCGUUUGAGCUAAUGUAAAGCAAUUCAUAACUCAACAAGCCUGUCAAGCCACACACUCUACUGAUAUAUAUAAACCAUGGGCUUUAUGAACUAAAAUCCUCCUAUAAACCUUUUCAAUUAACUCAAUAAAGAAGAGAUAAACAUAUAAGCCUACAACCUAUGCAGUACCAAAUGAGCAAGAUAAAAUAACCAUAUUUAGGGAGUGCAAUAGAGAACCUGAUAUUCGAUGCGAACAAUCAGUCGAAGUAUCAAUUAGAAAAACAAACAUAAAUUUACACUCACAUCAUUCAUCAUAUGCAUCAAACACAAAUUCAAAACUCAAAAUACAAAAGAAGACUGAUUACCAAUGUAUUAAAACAACAAACCACCACCAAAAUCGAGAAAAAAGCCCCUUUGAAACCCUAAAAUCAAUUCGAGCAAAAACCAAAUCAAUACCUGUAAUAAACAUAAUCAGUGGUGGCGGUAGUUGGUGGCAUGGCGGCGGGAGCAACAUCAUCGCCGGGUCUCGACUGGAGAAGAAAGAAUGUCGAUGGCGCUGUGGGAAGACCUGCGAGAAAAAGAAAGAGAGGCUGAAAUUAAGUGGGAGAGAGAAACUGACUGAAAGAGGAAGAGAAGGGCGAGAGAGACUGCAAUCUGCAACAGUCGACGGCGGUGGAUGGGCGACGACGGCGGCAGGGAACGCAAGUAAGGGACGUGAAAGAGUUGAGGAACAACAGUGUGAGAAUGAUAAUUAAAACACAAUGCAACAUUUAUUUUAAUUUAUGGCAUUUAAUAGAAGUGUAACU
rnacentral:lncRNA from 1 species